rnacentral:lncRNA from 1 species
GGGUCUAUGAAAUUAGGGUGCCACUAGUUUUCCUUGACUAGAUGGGUUUGUGUCAGACACUUACAUGCAUAAGGGUUGGUUUGCUUAACAAGGUUAUCUUAACGGUUAAGGACCUUGGGGCAUAAAGGUUGGGCACCGAGACAUGGAGAUGUAACCGAACAACAGGAGUCAUAUGUGAUAUGAUUAGCAAAAUUUUCUUACCGAUCUACCUUGUUUGCUAGCGGUGAUGCUAAAGCUCACUAGUAGACUUGUUAGUUGUGGAUCCUGAAUCAGUAUCAAUAGAGGGAUAUUGAUUUUAGUGGGAGUAGAUUCUGUUGAAAUAGUUUAAUGUGAUUUGCUCUAUCAUGGAUACGUUUGUCUUAGUGUAUUUUGCAUUACUUUUAUUGUAAAUUAAAUGGCACCUAGCAGCACUACACCGUUUGCUUUGCGUUCGGUCCUUGAGAAGGACAAGUUGAAUGGAACAAACUACUCGGAUUGGAUCCGUAACGUAAGAAUUGUUCUCAGGGCUGAGAAAAAGGAAAAUGUUCUAGACAACCCACUACCAGAAGAACCUGCUGAUGAUGCACCUGCUGCUGCUAAGAAUGCUUACAAGAAAGCAUGUGAUGCUAACCUCGAAGUAAGCUGUCUUAUGCUUGCUUGCAUGGAACCCGAGCUGCAGAUACAGUUUGAAACAAACCAUGAAGCACACGAUAUGACCGUGGCGCUUAGAGACAUGUUCCAAACACAGGCCAGGACUAAAAGGUUCAAUGUAUCUAAGGCCUUUGUGGAGAGCAAGCUAGUAGAAGGCGCAGCAGUAGGACCACACGUAAUCAAGAUGGUUGGUUACACUCAACGGUUGGAGAAGCUGGGCUUCCCACUGGGCCAAGAGUUGGCCACUGAUUUCAUUCUUUCGUCUCUUCUGCCUAGCUAUGGGAACUUCAUCUCGAACUACCAUAUGUAUAAGACGGAAAAUGGUCUGAAUGAGUUGUGUGUCAUGCUUAAAAUAGCAGAGGCUGAUAUCAAGAAAAGCGCUAGUAGCAGCCAUGUGAUGGCUAUAUAGAACAAGCCUAGCUUUAAGAAGAAGGGCAAUUCUUGGAAGAAGAAGGGCAAGGCUGGAACGUCCAAGCCAAACCCAGCGCCCAAGGUUAAAGCUGGACCUGGACCUGCUCCAGACAAAGAGUGCUUUUACUAUCAUGAACUUGGUCACUGGAAGAGAAAUUGCAAGCAGUACCUAGCUUUGUUGAAGAAUGGCGGAAGUAAGAGUACUUCCAUCUCAGGUACGCUUGUUAUUAAUGUUAUAGACAACAUAUUUCUCGCUGAUACAAUUAUUAAUUCUUGAGUAUUUGACACCGGAUCGGUUGCUCAUAUUUGCAAUUUGAUGCAGGAAAUGAUAAGAAGUAGAAGUGUGGAAAGAGGAGAAGUUGAUUUCCGCGUGGGCAAUAAUGCAAGAGUUGCUGCGUUGACUGUCGGGACGAUGCAACUCCACCUCCCGUCAGGAUUUAUUAUGGAGUUGAAUAAUUGUUAUUUUGUUCCUAGUUUAAGUCGAAACAUUUUGUCUCCUUCAUGCUUGAUGAAGGAUGGUUAUUCAUUUGCGAGUGAAAACAAUGGUUGUGUGAUCUCUAAGAAUGAUAUGUUUAUGGCUUUUGCACCCAUUGUGAAUGGAUUGUUUGUUUUAAAUCUUGAUGGUUCACCUGUCUGUAACGUACGUGCUAAAAGGCCUCAGCCUAAUGAUUUGAGUCCUACCUACUUGUGGCAUUGUCGUUUGGGUCAUAUAAGUGAAAAAUGCAUGAAGAAGCUACAUUCUGAUGGACUUCUAAGUUCAUUUGAUUUUGAAUCAUACGAGACAUGUGAGGCUUGUUUGCUAGGCAAGAUCACCAAGACGCCUUUCACAGGUUUUCCUGAAAGAGCAGCAGACUUGUUGGAACUUGUACAUAGCGAUGUAUGCGGACCAAUGAGCACGAUGGCUAGAGGAGGAUUCCAAUACUAUAUAACUUUCACUGAUGAUUUUAGUAGAUAUGGCUAUGUCUACUUGAUGAGGCACAAGUUUGAAACCUUUAAAAGUUCAAGGAAUUUCAGAAUGAAGUUGAAAAUUAGCGUGGCAAGAAAAUUAAGGCCUUACGAUCUGAUCGUGGAGGCGAGUAUUUGAGCCAUGAGUUUAGCAAUAAUCUAAAGAGUUGCGGAAUUGUUCCACAACUUACGCCGCCUGGAACACCUCAGAGAAACGGUGUAUCCGAGCGACGUAAUCGAACUUUGUUAGACAUGGUUCGAUCAAUGAUGAGCCAGUCGGACCUACCGUUGUCAUUUUGGGGAUACGCUAUAGAAACAGUAGCUAUCACACUUAAUAGGGUAUCAUCUAAAUCCGUAGUUAAGACACCAUAUGAGAUGUGGACUGGAAAGGUUCCCAGUUUGUCUUUUCUAAAGAUUUGGGGAUGUGAAGUGUUUGUCAAGCGACUUCAGUCGGACAAGAUCACACCCAAGUCGGAUAAGUGCAUUUUCGAGGGAUAUCCAAAGGAAUCUUUGGGAUAUUAUUUCUACAACCGGUCAGAGGGCAAAGUGUUUGUCGCUCGGAACGGGGUUUUCCUAGAGAAAGAGUUUCUCAAAGGAGGAAAGAGUGGAAAGACAGUGCAUCUUGAAGAAGUUCAAGACGAGCCGAUCGGGCAAGAAUCAAUGAGUGAUGCUAACGUAGCAGAACAAGUUGAGAUACCCAUGGCACCGCCACAACCACGAAGGUCAGCAAGGCUCUGCGAAAUGCGGGAAAUAUUAUUGUUGGACAAUGAUGAGCUUGCGACAUAUGCAGAAGCAAUGAUGGACCCAAACUCUGAAAAAUGGUAGAGUGCCAUGCAAUCCGAAAUAGAGUCCAUGGGAGACAAUCAAGUUUGGAACUUGGUUGACCCGCCUGAUGGUGUUAAAGCCAUAGAGUGCAAGUGGAUCUAUAAGAAGAAAAAGGACAUAGAUGGAAAUAUUUACAUCUAUAAAGCACGACUUGUCGCAAAAGGUUUUCGACAAGUUCAAAGAGUUGACUACAACAAGACCUUCUCGCCCAUAGUGAUGCUUAAGUCCAUUCGGAUUAUUCUAGCUAUAGCUGCAUAUUUCGAUUAUGAGAUAGGCAGAUGGAUGUCAAGACAGCUUUCCUAAAUUGAAACCUAGCUGAGGACGUGUAUAUGAUACAGCCUGAGGAUUUUGUCGAUCCAAAAAAUGCUAGAAAGGUAUGCAAGCUUCAGAGAUCCAUUUAUGGAUUGAAGCAAGCAUCUAGGAGUUGGAACAUUCGUUUUGAUGAAGUGAUCAAAGGGUUUGACUUCACCAAGAACGAAGAAGAGUCUUGUGUUUACAAGAAGGUUAGUGGGAGCUCUGUAGUAUUUCUAAUCUUAUAUGUGGAUGACAUAUUGCUGAUUGGAAAUAACAUUCCUAUGCUUGAGUCCAUAAAGACUUCACUAAAAAAUAGUUUUUCGAUGAAGGACUUAGGGGAAGCGGCAUAUAUUCUGGGCAUUAAGAUCUAUAGAGAUCGAUCGAGAAGGCUUAUAGGAUUAAGCCAAGAUACUUACAUUGAUAAAGUGUUGAAGUGGUUCAGCAUGGAAGAGGCAAAGAAAGGGUUCUUGCCUAUGUCACAUGGCAUACAUCUCAGCAAGACUCAGUGUCCUUCGACUGCUGAUGAGCAGGAUCACAUGAGUAGAGUGCCAUAUGCCUCGGCUAUUGGAUCUAUCAUGUAUGCAAUGAUAAGUACUCGCCCAGAUGUUUCAUAUGCGCUAAGUAUGACAAGCAGACACCAAUCUGAUCCAGGUGAGAGUCUAGACAGCGGUGAAAAACAUUCUUAAGUACUUGAGAAGGACUAAAGAUAUGUUCCUCGUUUGUGGAGGUGAGAAGGAGCUCGUUGUACCAGGUUACACCGAUGCUACUUUCCAAACCGACAGAGAUGAUUCAAAGUCACAAUCAGGAUUUGUGUUCACGCUAAAUGGUGGUGCUGUUAGUUGGAAGAGUUCCAAGCAGGAGACGGUGGCCGAUUCUACGACAGAAGCUGAGUACAUCGCGGCUUCGGAAGCUGCGAAGGAGGGUGUUUGGAUAAGGAAUUUCCUCAUUGAGCUUGGUGUGUUCCCGAAUGCGUCCAGCCCAGUGAAUCUCUACUGUGAUAACAAUGGGGAAAUUGCGCAAGCAAAGGAGCCAAGGAAUCACCAGAAGAACAAACACGUAAUGCGGCGAUUUCAUCUCAUUCGAGACUUCGUUAACCGGAGUGAGAUCAAGAUAUGCAAAAUGCACACGGAUCUGAACAUUUCUGAUCCAUUGACAAAACCACUCCUGCAGGCAAAGCAUGAUGCACAUGUAAGAGCUCUGGGUAUUAGGUACCUUCUAGAUUGACUCUAGUGCAAGUGGAAGACUGUUGGAGGUAUGCCCUAGAGGCAAUCAUAGAGAUGAUGAUAUUCCAUUUGUAUCCAUGAUUUAUAUUGUGUUCCUUGAAUAUCCAUUAAAGGCUACUUGAAUUGAUUUGCAAUUAUGUGAAUUGCAUGUGAAACUCUUUAUUUGUUUGGUUAUUCUAAAGUUGUCCCUAGUCGGAGUUCAUGUGAUGACACACAUGAAUAUUAUACUAGCACAUGUAUUAGUUGAUGACUAUGUUUCACAAGUCAUGGACAUGAAGAUGUUGAACUAAUAAUGUGGGCACAUGUGGAGACACGUGCUAGGACUGACCCAACACGAGAAGUAGUUCUCUCUUUACACAACAUAUACGCUUUGUCCUUAGACCUGAGAUUGUCGCAUGUACUACAGAUGUGGAUCGACUUACUUAGGGGCUAUCAAGCGCUACGCUGUAACAGGGUAGUUAUAAAGGUAGCUUUCGGGUUUGUCAAGAAGCAUGCUAUGAGACAUGGUCAAUCAAGAUGGGAUUUGCCCCUCUCUAAUUGAGAGUGAUAUCUCUGGGCCCCUCGAGUGAUCGGAUCCAAAAAUGCAUGGCCAUGCUACGUACGGUUAAGAGUUAACCUACAAAGGGAUUCCGAAUCAUAGGAUCGAGAAAGAGCGGUCGGCUUGAAGCUAGACCAAAUAUCGUGAGGCAAAGGGAAUGACAUGUAUAUAAUGUUAUGAUGGUUCGUCUGAUAUGAUCUUCGUGUGCGUAUAGGAGUUGGCACGUCUUGCUAGAGGCCGCUACCGACUAUUGGGUCGAGUAGGAGUACUUGGGCCAUGUCUAUACGUAUCCGAACCCAUAGGGUCACACACUUAAGGGGCUGGACGCCCAAUUCGGAUGUGAUCCGAGUUGGAUUAGGUUUAGAAGUACUAAUGGGCCUCGGACCCAUCGGCCCAUUAGGAACCUCUAUAAAUAGAAGGGUGGGGCGCCCUAGGGUUUGCACCUUUUUGCGAAACACAUCUGCUGCGCCUCCCACGCCCUCGCCUGUUGCAACUCGCGGACCUAGCAGUCGGGCUUGCGACGCUUCCUCCCUGCACAUGUUGAUACCUUGGAGGUGUUGCGCCUGUAGCACUUGGAUGAGCCACCGACGAGCUACGACGAGCCGCCGACGAGCCACUUGCACCAGUGCGUCGAGUGGUAAUCCCGUGAUCCUUAUACGGCAGUUUUCCUGGUUUACACGGUAGAAAAUUUUUGAUUUGCGCUAGCAUAGCCUACCUCGUAUCCCAACAGUGGAAGCUAUGGCUCCUUCCCCUUCUUUGAAUCUUUCAUCGAUCCUUCUGCGGCCUUUCCCUUGGACUUGUCGGUCUUCUUCCCCAUCUUCUUCACAUGCAGCACCUCGGCGUGCGUAAGUGGAGGAAGAGAAGGCUACUCUGAUGCUUAAGGUCAUUUGUCUCAGCUAAUGGUGGCGACGAUGGCGGCGGAGCAAGUGGCGGCGUUUGGGUUUUCAAGAUGCAGAAUAACAGAUGCGAAUGGAUGAAAGCAUAACCCACAAAGGGUACCAGCCUUAUCUUUUAUAACAGUGCAAUGGAUCUAAACGGCUCCGAGAUUCUAGGAACGCAACCCGUAAUUUCGCAACGGUAUGAUACUCUCAAAGAUUUAUUGUGAGAUUGAAGUCCAAUGGUCACGUUGAUCAUGGUUGAUCCCUUCAUUACCAGGACGUAGUCGACCAAGUGCUCGGGGGCUAUGUACACCUUGCCCGUUGGACAAAAUUUUCUUUGUCUUCAGGGAUUAAGCAAAGAUGAAACAAAUUCAAUUUGACCCUUAGCCUGAUUCUUCGAUUCAACCUAAGGCUCGGGGGCUACUCCAUAUGGAGUGCGAUUUUCAUUGCACUUCCAUAUAAAGACUUGAAGACAAACUACUCAAAAGCAGCAUUAGAAUGGGGCAGGAGUACCUUCCAGCCGCAUGUUAAUACUCGAGUACUUGAAGGCUAGCCACGACAGGAGUACUCAACGAGCACCAAAGACUAUUCGAGCAAUACCUGCAGAGUACCCGGGACUACUUCAUUUAACUACAAAGUACUCGAGGCCUUGUCGGCCAUACAUCCCUAGGCCCAUCAGAAGAUCUGUACGGACCCACUCAAGAGGACGUACUCAAGACGUAUCAGGACAUGAAGACUAUGCUACAGGGCAACCUAGACUACAUGGACUCAUGGAAGGACUAGUCAGAAGGCAGUAGGACUACUCUGCCGAGUUAGAGUAAGACUUUGUAGUCGUGUCUGACUAGUACUCUUGUACUAAAGACUACCCUAUAACCAUGCUUCCCCGACAUAUAAGGGCGGGCAGGGACCCCCUCAGAAAAAGUUCAAUUGAAUACAAGCAUACAACACACAGGAUGUAGGGUAUUACACAACCUAGCAGCCCAAACCUGUCCAAAUCGUGUUCCUGCUUCACCAUCGACUCCUUGAUUUCGGCGACACCCACCAACCAAAACACUAUCUCGGGUACUCCUUUGAUAGGUUGCCGGGUUAAAACACCGAGAGCGACCGACCUCAAGUACUCCAGCUCCACCUCCAACCCUGCAAUCACCACCUGAUCAUGCUAAAGACUAUGCAUCACCGGAAUCAAGCAACAGUCCAUAUCCUUGCGCAAGUCGGCCUCGUAGGCAAGUUUUUGUGACACGGCAUACUCAUGGUGCACGGCAAUAUCAUGAUCUUUCUGGAGUCGGGCGUUGGCUGUUUCACACUCUUUGAGGUCUCUCUUAAGGCUCUCUUCUUUCUUCUAGGCUUCUGCAAAGCAAUGAGAUUCAGGUACAGACACUGGUCGCAUCUAGUGUAUCUGGACUCACAACAAAGAUCAAAGCCGUUACCAUUUAGCAUGGCAUCAAGGUCGCUUUGGACGUCCUGGGUUAUCUAUUUCUAGUAUGCAAUCUCCUGAUCUUUUUGUCAGAUCUGCUCUACAGCAUCCUCCUUGGCCUUCCUGAGCUCGACCUCUAGGUGCUUGGCCUUGAGAUGAUACUCCUCGGCGCUGUGGAUGGCGUCCGCCCUCUUGUGCGCAUGCUCAUCCAGGUUUUUGGCAAGAAUUAUCCCAACUAAUCAGAGAAGGAAACCAUGAAUGAUGAUUAACAUCAAAUCAGGUCAGCUAACUUAUGUAUAACAGCUCCCCGACCUUGCCGGAAGCAUGCUUUAGCUCAGCAAGGUCUCUCUUGUCCUCGGCAACCUCCUGCGCCCAAACCGUCCUGGAGAAGCCUAGCGUGGAGGGAUUAUCUUCUUCGUGGGUGUUGAUGAUGGCUUCAUGGCCCACCACCCCAGCAUCAACCGACACCUCCCUAGGGUCUUCCUCUAUCUGGACCUCAACAUUGGCAUCCGUGUCAUCAGGCACGACAACUGCAACAUCUUUGGCAAUGUCUUGGUGCAGGGGCGACUGCUGCUUGGGGCUCUCAGGCUCUAUCACUAGGCCACUUUUGCCAUUGGCCUGAAUAGCAGAUGCUGAUGCAGCCCCCUGGAGUGCAUCAAACGUCCGACCCUCUGCCUGGGUCUCGACGCCAGCAUCCUGCGGGUUUGGUUUGUCAUCCAUCACCGCCUUCCUGCUCGGACGACAGGACACAGAGAUAAAGUGACGCAGCAUACAAACAAGCUUUCAACAACAAAUGACAUCAUGAAGAUAUUUACAUCGUGCUCUUCUUCACUUGGAACUUUGGGCGAAGAGGCACUGGCUGUGGUAGGGUCGGCACUUUCUGCUUUUUGCUGCGGAUUUCCAUUUUCAGACGCUCCUUGACCUUUUCCACGUCGGCGGCUGUUGCCUCAAGGAGCUCGGUCUUCUUCAUUUUCGCAGUGAAGCUGGGCAAGUUGGAGUCGUUGCUCACCACCAUAGACGUGGCCUCAUCCGUGGAGGAAGAUGCUGCAGCCUGGGCCCCAGUCUUUGCGACCGUCAUCUUCUUCCAUUUCCUCUUUUCUACCUUUGGCGCCUUGGACUCUAUCACCUUCCGUAUGCCCUGGUACGUCUGCUGCCCAAUAGGAGUAGUGCUCUUCGCCUCCAUCCCACUACCUUGGACUUGCACGUCCUCAUCAGAGCAAUAGAAGGAGGAGUCCAACUCUCAGACAAGGGUAGCAGGCGGUUGGUCAGCCUCGGCGGAUGGAUGGAGCUUGGGCCGUUGUUGCUUAGUGCUUCCGGCGAGCGGCACCGGACAGAAGAAUUAGCACUCAUGGCUCUGGUCAAUCAACGGGAUCGGGUCAGGUAAGCACAACACAAACUAAACUAGGAAUGCCAAGAACCGAACAAGAACUUACAAGAUCGGCCGGCCUCCUGAGGGAGUACGCCUUUGGGCACCACUUGUUUUUGAUGGCCCCGCAGAAGAACUCUGCUAUCCGGCCGGCGACCUCUUCCUGGGUAACCUUCCGUUAUGCCUCCUGGGUUGGAUUGAAUCGGCCCGAGUACGCAUACGUCGGGUGGACCUUGUCCUUGAUCGGUUGCGUUAGCCUCCAACAAAAGUUGAUGCUCACAGCUCUGGCUGUCAGCCCACGACCUUUUAGGUCAGCAAUCUCCUUCAGCAGGUGCUUCACUUGGACCAUUUCUGCGGAGGUUAGCUGGUUGGACCACUCCGGCAUUGUCACGGGUGCAUAACCAAGGUGGGGCAGCAGCUCAGGCUUCUGAUAGGUGUUAGGGAACCAUUCCUUGUGCCACCCCUUGUUCAAGUCCUUUAGCUUUAGAUCAAUAUACUCCAGAACUCUCUUUGGACGCAGUGAAAAUCCACACCCACCAAUGACCCUCGGCCCCCUCCUUUAUCGCCAUGAUCUUGAGUUGGUAUAGAUACCACUAGAUAUUGAAAUGGGGGGGGACUUCCAAGGAAAGCCUCGCAGAAAUGGAUAAAGAUAGAGAUAUCAAAGAUAGAGUUAGGGUUCAGAUGUACUAAAUCAACCUUGUAGUAGUUGAGCAGCCCGCGUAAGAAAUCCCCAGCAGGGAUUCCGUAUCCGCGCUUGAAGAAGGCUGCGAAGAUGAUGUCCUCAGUAUUGUCUCGGUUGGGAAUUCCUGACCUGCCAUGGCAUUCUAGUUGAGGAGGGAUUUAGGGCUGAGCAAGCCUCGAUCGACGAGGGCUUGAAUCUUUUCCUCUAUUAUCAAGGACUUCACCCAUUACUUGGAUGGAUCCGAUGCCUGCUCCACCUCCAUCUCUUUGGUUUCUAUCCCCUGGGAUUAAGAUCUGAUGAUGAUGGACCUCUUGGUUCGCGUACGGCGGCGUGGCAGCGGCAGAUUUGGGUUGUGGCGGAGGAGGUGAGCGAGUCAAUUUGAGAGAAUGGCAGCACAACCUAGGGUAUCCAAGUGUGAUGGUGAUGGAGUCUACGGACGGCGGUGUUUGAGAGUGAGACAGUAGAAAUGAAAAUGGAAACCGUAUCUUUUUGGAUUUUGAAGGCAUUGACGGCGUAAACCUAGUGACAGAAUCCGCAGGUUUUCCGUUAAGUCUCACAACAUGCCUCCUUGGCUCCGCCAGUCCUCGCGCUCAGGGGCUAGGCACCUAUUUCAAGUCGAUGUGCCUCCGUGGCUCCGCCAGUCCUCGCGCUCUAGGACUAGACACCUAUUUAAGGUUAGCAUGCCACCUUGGCUCCGCUAGUCCUCGCGCUCGGGGGCUGGGAGCUUAUUUCAAGUUGGCGUGCAUCUGUAGCACCGCUGGUCCUCAUGCUCAGGGGCUAAGUGCCUAUUUCAGGUCGGCGUGCUUCCUUGGCUCCACCUAUCCUCACGCUUAGGGGCUGGGCACCUCUUUCCGAUCGGCAUGCCAUCGUGGCUCCGCAAGUCCUCACGCUUCGGGACUGGGCACCUAUUUUAGGUCGGCGUGCCUUCGUGGCUUCGCCAUUCUUUGUGCUCAAGGGUUGGGUACCUACUUUAGGUCAGUGUGCCUCCGUGGCUCCACCAGUCCUCGCGCUCGGGGCUGGGCACCUACUUCAGGUCGGCGUGCCUCCAUGGCUCCACGAGUCCUCGUGCUUGGGUGUUGGGUGCCUAUUUCAGAUCGAUGUACUUCUAUGGCUCUGCCAGUCCUCGUGCUCGGGGGUUGGGCACUAUAUUUGGAUCUCUUUUAUGACAGAAAUAAUACAACUGAUCCUUGACUAUUGGACCAAUUACUUUAAUUGCUUCAAUCCUCGGGGGCUACUCCCGUCAAUCUGCAGGAUGUCAGACAUCCUAGAGCUCGGCAGUCACAUAGCCAUACACAUUUGGUCAUACGCCUAUGGAAGCUUCAAUUUUUCUUUCUUUUUUUAGCACUGCAUAGCCUCUCCAUCGCUAUGAUGACACCACACCUUCAGCUGAGUACAUUACAAGCUUCGUUGCGCAUCCGUCAAGUUCCUAUUCAACUCCACAUCGCUCGGGGGCUUGAGGGAUAAGGGUACCCACGGGUCCCCACCAACCAGGAUACUGGUCAGCCCAAACAAGUGGACCUGCCUGACCAUGUCGUAAGAGCCAAGGCAUAAAGAUACAUGGAGCACAAGUCCGGAGGCCGGGCGAACGGAUUCUACCUGGAUAUCACGGGAUACUUGUUGUAAACUUACUCAGACUGCUUUCCAUGUAGCAACCGACUAGGAUUAUAUCCUAUCUGAUUUUAACCCUAGGUCGUCAAGCUAUAUAAGUCACCAGGGACGCCUCCAGACUCCCGAGAUCAUCUCAACUCUCCGCAUACCAUACCAGCAAUACAAUCCACCAGAAUACAGGACAUAGAGUAUUACUCUCUGGAGGCCCAAACCUGUCUAAACCUUGCACGCCUGUGUUACCUUUUGAGUUCUUGGUCUCACGAUCUCCCCCCUACAAAUCUACCACCUGGGUAACCCCUUGGUGGACUGCCGGUCAUUAAAUCCGACAAGAACCUUAUCCACAGUGGUUGACUCUGGUCAAAAACCGGUGUCAACACAUGCCCCCCAAUUUUGGAAUAUAUAAUCUGGUUCCAAAAUUCUCUUCUCUUGUCAACACCUUCACAGGUCCCGAGCCGAUAUCCUUCCAAGACUAAAAAGAGUCAUUGCCAUAAUUAUGACCUCAUCCUCCGGGUUUUAUGAAAGCAUUCCCCCAUUUUUCAGGAUUCACCCUACAAAGAUCAUUAUAUAACCGCUCUAGUCCCUUUCAUCUUCUUCACCAAGCCGAUGGAAGUCUUUCACCGCCACAGCCAAAAAUUGAAUCUUUCCCUUCACGAACCCAAUGAUUACUCCAUUGCUCCAUCAUCGUCAAGCUCCAGCCAUCAAGACACCCUAGAAUAGCAAUGGCGAUAGUGCCUACUAUUCCAUAGGUACUAGGCAUUUUCACUAUCCUUUUUACUUUCUAGAUCCAAUCUUGUUACUGUACAUUGAACCUUCGUUAAUUUCAAUCCUAGCCUCCUUUGUAGGAGCUCAGGAACAAUUUCCUGAACCCCAUAGCCAACACUCAAACAAGUUACUUCCUAGGACCCAUGGGUGAUGAGGAUCUGAUAGAUUUUAUAAAUACUAAAACUCAGAGGAUCCCCUUCAAGCAUGGUACAAUGAACCUGUCAGAUUGGAAAACCACUAUUUGCUCAUGGCCGAAUAACAUCUCUGGUUGGAGAUCCUGGUAUCUUCAUGUAGCAGCCGAAACGUAAAAAAAUUGGGAGGACUCCAUAAUUGGCCAUUGCAUUAGACUCUCCUUAGCUGAAAUGGAAAAGAAUGAGCCACUGUUAGUAGCAUCCGCAUAUUUCUGGUCUGAUGCCCUAAAUGUAUUUUUGUUCAACAACAACCAAUGUCUCCAAGCUUGCUUGAUGUUUUCAUGCUGACGGGCCUAGACGUCUCUACCCCAAUUGACCCUUUCAUCAUGAGGACUAAAACUUCUUAUAGGGUCAAAUCAAAGAAUAUGAAUGGAUGGUCUGGAUACAUCACUUCAUAGAGCAAAACAACAAGCAUAAUAAUUGAUGAAGAACAUGCCCUUUUCCCGAAUAUGUGGCUAGAAAAUUCAUCUUAUGUGGAUCCACUGCAGGCCCUAUGGAAACUAUGCUAGGAUUUGCUGGAAAUUUAGCUUGAGACAAUAAACUCCCCCACAGAAAAUUUCUACUUGGGUCUGUAUACCGUUUAAUGCACCAGACAUUAGUCAAGCUGUGAACCGGUGAAGCCAUUGGCACUGGAGGCCCAUGGUGGUACAUUCAGCUCUGGCUCACCAUCUAUAUGGCCAUGGGUCAACGAACAGACCUUUCUUCCUGCACUUUCCCUGAUAAUUUCGCUGAAGGAGAAGAAGAAUCCUAACACCAAUGUGAGUCUUAUGGGAGGCGUCAUCAAGUGUCAUAGGCUGCUCUCUAUCGGCACCAAAGACAUCCCAAUUCUUUAGACUCUUCUAUUGUGGCUUCAAGGAGGAUGACAUAACAUAGUGCAUAUAUGAACUCACUGACCAGUUGAAUCCUACCUUUCCAAAGAUCAGCCCAUCAGAGUCACUCACAUUGCCAUCCAAAUCUGUUGUAGCUCCUUGCAUUCUUCCAACCUGUUUUGCCAACGGCCAAUCUCACAAACCCUCUUAUGAGUUCUACCAUCCUUCAGUAUUUUCCCAUCAGAUGGGAUUUGGUCAGGUUCCAAUCAAUCAAUUUUUUGUUAGCAAAGUGAAAGGCAAGGGACAUAGUCACCACCUACUGUGAAUAUGAAAGUUUGACUGCCUUGACCUUACUAGUGCCCUCAUUUAACUUGCCGGAUUGGGUUGGUACCAAAGUAUCAUCUGAAUCCUUUGAAUGAUGGUGGAAUAAAUGGAAGAGCCAUCUAAUGAACCAUGCAGUGGCGCAUUACUGAAAACACUCUAUCCUGACUAUGCACCAUCCUAUGGAGAGGUAAUUUCUUCAUAUAUUACUUUAUUUUCCUUCCUUUCUUUUGAUUUACUAUAACAUUCCAUGUCCUUUCAGGAAAAUGAAGCUGAUGCUCCUCUCGGAAUCCUCAGUGGUAAGCCAUUUGCCUAUGCCCCCCCUACUUCAUAACCGGGAGUUGAUGCCCCCUAAGUUUCUAAUUUACCCAAGGAUCAUCAACUAGACAAGCUCAAACUUCCAUUCAAGCGGCUGGGCAAGAAGAAGAAGAAAAAACCAUUGCAUCGCCAAUUGGAUUUCUAUCAGCUUCGGAGGUAUAUCAACUAUCUUUGUUUACUCACUUUUUCUUUUGUUAGUGACCUAAAUCUUGAUCGGCUACAGCAGGCACAUUCCCCUCUGCCUGACUUCCAAGAGCCAUCGGCCGAUAGAGCAUCAGAAAAACCAACGCCAACUCAAGAAGAAACACACCUCUAGCUAAAGAAAUUGGUUUCACGGGUAUAGUAAUAUCAAUUCCACCUAUGAAUCUCUUCUUGUGUUGUACUUAUGGAUUAUCUCAACAGUUGGUAGUUGGAACGUCGGCAUAGUCUUCUGCAUCGGCAUUGGUUUCAGCAUCAAUAUCGGCUACUCCAAUAAACGCAGAAAUCCUAGAACAUCACCCCAUGCCAAACUAAUAACAAUUGUUGAUUCAACAAAUCAUCUUAGUAAUAUUUUCGUCCAUUCAUGCCAAUUCUCCUAUUUUAAUGUGCAUUCUAAUCCAUGCCCAUUUGUAGAACGAACCAUCAGCUGAAGAACAAAUCACUUAGCCAAAAACUCCUCCAACGGCUAUGCGAUCACCGAGAAUUACACCCGAUGAGAAAGAUCCUGAGAACAAUACUCAAUAGCAAGGAAUCCCUGAAUCUCGUGCAUUUGUUGAGACACCAAAAAUCUGAUCUAACAAAUUUUAUCCACAGGCUGCCAAUCCAUCAAUGUCAGACCUCUUCUCAUUCAGCAUAGAAGAAUUUGUAGAUGAGGAAAACACUAGCUCAAGCCAUCCAGUAUAGAACUAUCCAGACAUUAAGGAUCAGCUAUCAACUAUUUUGCAGUUACUGUGUCAAGACACAUCUAUAUUGCUAGAAGACGUUGAGUUGAUCCAAAAGUUGUACAGGCAAAUUAGGACUCAUGUGACUGACGAAUUAGUAGCAUUAUUGACUCCUACAGCCAUGAUCCAAUUGCACUAUUACGAAGUCCAGGGAGCUAAGAAGCAUAUAGCUGACAGGCAGGCCAAUCAUCAAGCCGACAUUCAAUUGGAUGUUGUCAGGUCAAAGGCCAAAGAAUUAAAGUAGGAAGUUGACCAUCUUAAUGACUCCCUUUCCUCUGAAAAAAAUGAAAUCCUUGGGAAACCAAUAGGGAUCAACUAAUACUCGAACUGAAUCGAGUGAACACAGCAAUUGCAAAGGCUCAAGAUAAAAUUAACAACUAUCCGUCUACAAUUCAAGAGAAAAAGAAAGAACUAACAGCCUUUAUCAACAAAGCACGCAAUCAGCUUCGGCAAAUCAACAACGGCUCAGGGUCUGAUGAAGAAGAUUUCUAGCUGAUUGCCGAUGUUGAUAAUAUUCGCCUGUGUGCAAUACAAGCCAUUGGAAGGGCCUUGUAAAGAACAAUUGAUUCUCUUCAAAUCUAUCUUUAAAGUGACUCUUCAAUGUAGUAUUUACUUUUCUUGACCUGACUGCAAUGAGUUUUCUUUACCUCUUGAGGCCAAACCAAAUGUCACGAGAAUAUUGUUUCACUCAGCAAAGGCUAAAAGGUUCCUGCCAUUAUGUCUCAUGAGUCCCCUAUAUUACCUUGGUUGCAUAUCAGCAAUCUUGCUAUAAAUGGACCACUAGUUCUAGCACCUUUCGCCACCAAAAACCAUGGCUCAAAGAAUAAAACUUGUAGGCUGGAAACUCAUAAUACUUGCAGCUCACAGGGGAUCCAUGACUACUAGAUGCUAGAAAAAUUCUCAUGAAAUAGACUAGGAUGCUCCUUCCCUUCGCAGUUUCUUUUGCGAAGCCAGGAGGUCACAAUGCAAGAAGAAUCCUUAAGACAUACCUCCAUUAACAUCUCUCCAGGAAUUAGCUUCUCUUCUUGUUUGAUCUGCUCUUCCUUGGAUUCGUCAGUUACAAAACAUCUGCAUCUUGGAGGGUAACUCAGCCUCUCAUUCACAGAUUGAACUUCUUUCUGCUCAUUGAAUCCGUCGACUGCACGAUGGAGCCUUGAUGGCUGAUACUCCAAACGUUCAUGCACCGACCGGCAUUGUAUCUAAGAAUCGCGAUACUCUUGAUAUUGAGAACUACACUCUGGGCAAUUAAUAGCUGAUGGUAACCUCAACUUUUGGUUCCAGCAAUAUUGGAAGAAAGGACAAUGUGUGACUCAAACUUGCUUUGGUCUUCAUCUGUCCUACCUCCUCGAUCCCCCCAUUUGUGCUGGUACUUUUUGAUCAACAUCUUGGAAGUCACUUUAGGUUUUCCAGCAGACCGGUUGGUUUCAUCUUCCUCAACUUCUUGAGCCCAAUUUACUUUCUUCUUGAACUCUUCAGCCAAUAUCUGUACCUAUGGAUCCACUGCGCCAUAUUUUUUCACCAUCCUUGAUGUAAGCAGGGUCGACCGAAGCCUUGAUUCAUCUUGCUCAUCAACUGGCGUAGCCUCCACCAUGUUGACCGCUGGGAACGGAUGUUUGUCAACCUUCAUCGGCUUCUUGUUGUCAUCAACUUUUAGUCUUCCUUGUUCUAUAGCCAUUUGAAUUUGUCAUCGAAACAUCUUGCAGUCAUUAGUAAGAUGUGUAACAGAGUUAUGUAGCUUAUAGUACUUCCUCUUCUUGAGUUCUUCAGCCAACGGUAUCUCAUGACAUGGAGGCAGCUUGAUAUGUCCUUCCUGUAGCAGAAGAUCGAAGAUCUUGUCAGCUUUGGUAAUGUCGAAGUCAUGUCUCUGUAUUAGUUUUGAUCCAUGGACAUGAGACUAGCUUCUUGCUUUUAACCCACUCUGUUACACUAAUCUCCCCUUCUACAUCAGAAUCUUCAUCGAACGAGUCCUAUGCCUUGAAGUGGGAAACUCCACACUUGCCCCUAUGUGUGUUCUAUAAUCGGUUCUCAUGAACCGAAACCUUGUGCACCAGAUGUGCCAGACUUUCAAAGUCUUAACGAGCAAAUUUUCCCUUAGUGGGGUCCAGCAACCCUUUAUAAGCCAAUUCUGCUAACUGUCCAUCAAUUAAAUACAUGUUAUAGCACUUGUUGCGAACUUUUGUGAACCUUUGGACAAACGCAACCACUGAAUCCCCGUUCCUUUGCUUCAUCAUUAUGAGAUUCAUCUGCUUCAUCUCCUAAGCCUCUACAUAGUAAUAUUUACGAGAUAACAUCUCCAAAUCUUCCCAACUAUUAAUGGAGUUUGGUGCUAAUGUCGAAAACCAUGUGCAAGCAGGCCCUAUCAAUCACAACGGGAACAUCCGUACUUUAAGCGCAUCCAUGGUAGCUGCUUCUCCACAUUGAACAAAGAAUUGGCUGACAUGUUCUCUUAUAGACAUGUUGUCCUUCCCAAAGAAUUUGGAAAAGUUAGGAACACGGUAUCGAGGUGGCAUUGCAACUUGAUCAAACCAGCCAGGAUAGGGGCGUUGAUACAUGUGGGCUUGUUCUUUAGGCUUCAAACCGAACUGACUCCUCAUCACUUUGACAAUCUUUGCAGCCUAAUUUUCACUGCUCUAUCCGUUCCCAUGUUGUGAGUUUGGAGAAGCUGCAGGCAUGAAACCAUCUAUGGGUUUUGGCUAGCGAGUAUCAAACACUUUGUGUCCAUAGGAUUUAAAAUCUGGCUAUCUUGGUGGCGUCGCUUGCGGGUUGGCUAUUCUUAUAGGAAUUGAAUCUGACGCCUGCCUUGAUAGGCCAAUAGAUGGGCCAACCGUCAGUUGUCCCGCCGGUAUCGAGAAGAUGUGUCACUUAUGUAACGAGACAUGUUAUACGUAUACCUUUUCCAAGAUUACUUACUAACAUAAUGAUCCACAACCUGCUGGAUCGUCUUCUGAAUCUUAUUUGCCAAUACCCCAGUUGGGUUGAUCAAAGCAUUGUCGACCAUUGAGGUGAUCUUAGACUAGAGCCUAUUGUUAUCUUCUUCAAUCACCACAUUCUCAUCUCUGGGUGGUGGCAUUGGCACUGGGAGAGGAUGCUUCUUGUGAGCCUUGUUGUGGUCCAAACUGAAUGAUUGCAAACAUGUUGCUACGAAUAGAUCCCUAGCAUCUUCGACUUCUUUCCUUUGUUGUUCAUCAAGCUUGUCCAGGGUGAUCUCAGUAGCCGUGAAUUCCUUGGUAGCCUUGGGAUCACCUUGACUGUCACUAGUUUCACUAGCCAUCUAGUUGAAGUUGAGGCAACGAUGAGCACUAAUGAUGUUCGUUCAUUAUUUGUCCCACCGAGCGUACCAAGAGCGUGUUGAUGCAAAAUCUAGAUUUCAGGCUUCUGCGUUGAACAACAUGGAGGACCUGGGAGAUUCUUCCUAACUUUAGUGCAGGCUCCAAAUCAGCUCACGAGUGGUGUAAGGUGUGCCAGUCAAUGACCUAAAAAUUGACAAGGUAAACAUUAAAUUCCUGAGCCGAUCAACGGCGAAGCUUUCAAACUCAUGGGUAGGCGUUCUUGGAAUAAACACCAUGACAGAUAGAUAUUUAAUGUAAUCAUGCAGUGUAAAUAAAUAAAGUAUAAUGGCAUGUGCCAUCAGCUAUAUGAGCCCACAGGCUAUGAUAAAGCAAUAUAGAACAACAGCCAUAAAAGGAGCCCCUGCUAAUCAUGCGUACAUUAGAUAAACUAACAGAUCUAGUCAAUGCCUUGAUAAGUGUAAUUGAACUUAGAUAAGGUAACACAAAUGAGAGGCCAUUGACAUCAAUCUAUUAAUGUAAAAGAUUAGAACACAGCAAACAAGGACCUCUUUCCUACCGCUUACAAGAUGAUUAAGCUAACGGAUCUAAUCAUUGUCAUGAUAAGUGCAUUGAACUUAGACAUGUUGGAGGUAUGCCCUAGAGGCUCCUUGAAUUGAUCUGCAAUUAUGUGAAUUGUAUGUGGAACUCUUUACUUGUAUGGUUAUUCUAAAAGUUGUCCCUAGUCGGAGUUCAUGUGUGGACACACAUGAAUAUUAGACUAGUACAUGUAUUAGUUGAUGACUAUGUUUCACGAGUCAUGGACAUGGAGAUGUUAAACUAAUAAUGUGGGCACAUGUGGAGACAUGUGCUAGGACUGACCCAACACGAGAAGUAGUUCUCUCUUUACACAACAUGUACACUUUGUCCUCAGACCUGAGAUUAUUGCAUGUACUCAAGAUGUGGAUCGACUUGCUUAGGGGCUAUCAAACGCUACACCGUAACAGGGUAGUUAAAAAGGUAGCUUUCGGGUUUGUCAGGAAGCAUGCUGUGAGGUAUGGUCAAUCAAGAUGGGAUUUGCCCCUCCCUAAUUGAGAGUGAUAUCUCUGGACCCCUUGAGUGAUCGGACCCGAAAAUGUAUGGUCAUGCUACGUACGGUUAAGAGUUAACCUACAAAUGGAUUCCGAAUCACAAGAUCGAGAAAGAGCGGUUGGCUUGAAGCUAGAUCAAAUAUCGUGAGGCAAAGGGAAUAGCAUGUACGUGAUGUUGUGACGGUUCGUCUGAUAUGAUCUUCGUGUGCGUAUAGGAGUUGGCACGUCUUGCUAGAGGCCGCUACCGACUAUUAGGCUGAGUAAGAUUACUCGGGCUAUGUCUAUACGUAUCCGAACCCAUAGGGUCACACACUUAAGGGGCUGGAAGCCCAAUUCGGAUAUGAUCCAAGUUGGACAAGGUUUAGAAGUACUAAUGGGCCUCGAACCUAGGGGCCUGUCAGGAACCUCUAUAAAUAGAGGGGUGGUGCGCCCUAGGGUUUCAUCCAUUUGGCUGAAAACACAUCUGUUGCGCCUCCCACGCCGUCACCCUAUUGCAACUUGUGGACCUAGCAGUUCGGCUUGCGACGCUUCCUCCCUACACGUGUGGAUACCUUGGAGGUGUUGCACCUGCAGCACUUGGACGAGCCACGACGAGCCGCCGACAAGCCACGACGAGCCACGGCACGAGGACGACCUUGCUGCACGUGGAUGAGCUACUGAGGAGCUGCUCGACGUCGACGUGAUCGACUACGUUGAUCGACUUUGCUACCCCGACGUGAUUCUACAUCUUCCGCACCUGUGCGUCGAGUGGUAAUCCCGUGAUCCAUAUACUGCAGUUUUCCUGGUUUACGCGGUAGAAAAUUUUUAUUUUGCGCUAGCGUAGCCUACCUCGUACCCCACAGUAGUAUCAAAGCCAUAGCUGUUUUGUUAUGGAUUCGGGAUGUGUGCAUAUGGAGAUAUGCGAGUUUUCAGUAUGAUCUAUGAUCUGGUUUCGUGUUCUUGCUACAAUGGUAGUGUAACGACAUACUCCUACCGGUCCGAUUUCCGCCAUCGGAGUUAAGUGAUACACAUAAUGCCAGUUGCACCAAGCGAAGAUCAAUGUGAUUGAUCGAAUUGAAACCCAGGUUCAUACGCCAGGCGCAUGAGAUGUGCAAUAGUAGGUUGGAUCUACUACCGGGUCGGAAUUUUUGCCGUAUGCGUGUGCUUCGGUAAAAACAGCCGUAACUUUUCGGUACGAUCUCGGAUCGAGGCGAAUUUUAUAUGAAAAUUAAUCUACAGAAAAAGUUACACUUGAUUACGACUGACUUUGAUGGUUUUGACGAAAUUAGAUUUCCCAAAUUCAGCUUGGAAGAUGGAGUUUCGGGCCUCUGAAGUUUGGAACGUUAGAACGCCUAACUCUAUUUUACAGGAUGCUAUCAUUUUGUGAUCAGUAUGCUCCCCUUGUGUAUGUGAUGCAUGUGUGUAACUCAUUCGUGACCUGCGUGUCACGCGUACGGCAACACGACUGGAGCCAUAUGUGUUGUCACCUUAAUGUAUUUAAUGGUCUGCGUACCAAUCAGUGAUGAUUCAGGCAACUAUGUAAUCUACAUUACUAGCUAUCAGGUGUAAUAGCAUGUUCUAGUUCUUGGAGGACUCAUCACUAGGAGAAUGGCGCACAUGGAACAUGGAGAUGGAGAUCACCAUGGUGAAAUGGUUCUAUGGAGAUGGAGAUCACCAUAAGAAAAUGGGUCAUACUGUGCCACAACUGUGCGAAUGCUAUUCUUUAUGUUUUACUUCCUGCAUAAUGCGAUGUUAGAAGUAGAACGAUCUCUCGCAAAGUUUAAGUUUGUAUGCCCUCCCAACUAAAACUUGCACCGUCCCAUGUCUUGUACAACUGGUGGUGGGUCUAUCAAAUUUGACUAGUUUUCCUUGACUAGACAAGUUUGUGUCGGACACUUACACACAUAAGGGUUGGUUUGCUUAACAAGGUUAUCUUAACAGUUAAGGACCUUGGGGCAUAAAGGUUGGGUGCCGAGACAUGGAGAUGUCACCCAACAACAGGAGUCAUAUGUGAUAUGAUUAGCAAGAAGUUGUUUACCGAUCUACCUUGUUUGCUAGCGGUGAUGCUAAAGCUCACUAGUAGACUUGUUAGUUGUGGAUCCUAAAUCACUAAGUAUCAAUAGAGGGAUAUUAAUUUUAGUGGGAGUAGAUUCUGUUAAAUAGUUUAAUGUGAUUUACUCUAUCAUGGAUACGUUUGUCUUAGUAUUUUGCAUUAUUAUUUUGUUGUAGAUGGCACCUAGCAAUAUAUGGGAGCCCGAAGGUUUUGUCGAUCUGAACAAUACUGGAAAGGUAUGCAAACUUCAAAAAUCCAUUUAUGGGUUGAAGCAAGCAUCUAGGAGUUGGAACAUUCAUUUUGAUGAAAUGGUCAAAGGGUUUGGCUUCAUUAAGAACGAAGAAGAGUCUUGUGUUUGCAAGAAGGUUAGUGGGAGCUCUGUAGUAUUUC